GGGGUUGUGGCUCAGUGGUAGAGGGCUUACCUAACAUGUAUGAGGCACUGGGUUCAAUUCUCAGCACCGCA
rnacentral:tRNA from 1 species